UACCUUCACCUCGUCUAAUUUUUGCCGCGUGAAAAAUCGCUUUAUUAUUAUCACCUUUUGUCCUUUUCUCUCCAAUUUUCAGCUCCAUUUUUCCUCAAUGGAACCUCGAUCUGUUUCUCAACGAUCGAUUACUUGUAAAUUUUCUCCUUCGAUAUCGAUUUCGUUGAGUCGUUGAAACUCUCUCUUUUGAUCUCGAUUUCUUUCACUUUGAUCGUGAGUCGAAUAAGAUCUCCGUGGAUCUGUUGAUGAUCGUGGUUAUUUUCCACAUCGCGGUGAUACGGAUGCGAGAUUUGCGUUGAAUCAAAGCAAUUAACACAAAAUUAGUUGAGUUUUUUUGUAACAAUUAUUCUUUAGUAAGUGAUUAUGUUUUGUAUCGCUUUCGAAUUCAGAAAUUUUUGGUUGAUAGAGAGAGAAGGUAGUUGUUGAGUUUGUGUGAUAUUUGUGAAUGGAUCUUUGCCAUGUCAGGUGCGCUUGCAUGGCAGAUCCGAAAAAAGUUAAUAAAAUUGCAGUUAUUUUGUUUUGAGAGGGAAGAGAGAGAUUGGUUUGGGGACAGUUUUUUUAUUUGCCCCCCCUCUCUCUCUUCCUCUGUUGUGUGUGUCUUGCCUCUUGCGUCUCUUUUUCUAUUCUGUUGCUUUUCUUUACUCUACUAUUAUGCUCGGCGCGUACACUAUUACAAGAAUUUUAAUUAACAAAACCUAAUUCAACAAGCAAUCCGCAACACAUUGAGGUAUGGCUGCAAUUGAACUUUUUGAUAUGUUAUUGAUUACGCUCCAUUUUGUUUACGAUAAGUUAUUUUAUUGUUUACAUCCAUACACUACGAAGCACGGACACAGACACAGACACAGCACACACAAACACUGAAAAACCUCUGGUAGAAAUUUAAUAAAGUGAUAUAAUUGUAAAUAAUCACAAGUUUUGGUGUCGGUGGUCUCUAUCAGAAGGGUCGCUACAUAGUCUAUAUAUUACCUCCGUCUUUAUUUUCAAGACUGUAAAACAGCCGCUAUUUAAAACAAAUCACUUCUGUUCCAGGAUCCGUUGUUUAGAACAAAGUAGUCAAAUAGCCGCUAUUGUUGUGUUAUAGCAUAGUGAAAUUGGAGCAAAUUGCAUUUGUUCCACUAUCUGCAAUUGACAACUCUAUCGCCAGCUUUUCAUUUCCAUCCAAAAAUCUUUGAAUCUGCACAGUCGAAUUGGCCCUGAAUCAUCUAAAUUAUCUUCCCGAAGAGGCAGUUAACUUAUUGGUGAAUACAAUAAAUUAAACACAAUGCAUUUAUUUGUUGCCUUAUGACCACUUGGACUGUGAUGCGUAAAAUCUCAACUUCUUAUUUGCCAAUUUUAUUUGAUUUUUCCAGUAUAUAUCUACAUUGUUGUAUUCAUGUCUGAUAUCCGUAUUCAUUCAAUACUAUAACUGUCAACAUGAAAUGGCAGUUGGGAAGUACUGGAUGGCAUUUUGAUUCUGUUAUAAGCUGUUAGUUGGACUUGUAAUUGGGUUUUCUUUGGAUGUGGAAUUUUAUUGUAUGAACCAUUUGUAUAAGGUGACAAAGAGCUUACUUCCUGAAGAGUGCAGAUUGUUUUAAAAAACUCUGUCUAGUGUAUCCUCAAAGCUCUUGAUGUAGUUUACUAUUGAUCAACAACUUCAAGCAUUGUGCGACCUGGAAUAGAACUUGUAGAGUGAAAUCUGAAGACCUGAUUGCUGCUAGAGGAUGAAGGUUUCAGGACUGGUCUGCUCAACUCGUCCUACAGUUUUCUGAAGCAGAGAAGGUCGUUGAAUGCUUUUGUUGGAGAAUUUGUUAGCAGUAUAUGUUCGUGUGAAUUUCAAUUGGCAAGAUAAGAAGUCGUGGAUGCGUGACAAACAUGUAAUGCGAGUGUGAGGUAUAUACGCAACAACACAAGGUAUCUGUGUUAAAUGGAUCUUUGCCAUGGCAGGUCCAAAAAAAUUAAAUUGUUUUGAUAUGUUGGCUGUAUAUGUUCUUGUGAAUUUUAAUUGGUGAGAUCAGAAGUCGUGGUUGCGUGAGAUACAUGUAAUGUGAGUGUGAAGUAUAUACACAACCACACAAGGUAUCUGUGUUAAAUGGAUCUUUGCUAUGUCAGGUGCGCUUGCAUGGCAGGUCCGAAAAAUUAAUGAAGUUACAGUUAUUUUGUUUUGAGAGGGGAGAUAGGUUUGGGGACAUUUUCUUUUAUCCCCGCCUCCCUCUCCCUCUCUGUUGUGUCUUGUUCUUUUUUUUUUUUUUUUUUUUGUCUUCUCUCUCUCUUUCUUUUCUUCUUGCUUCUCUAUUCUGAUACUUUCCUUUACUGUUAUGCUCCACCCAUAAAAUUGCGAGGACUUCUAAUAAACAAAACCUAAUUCAACAGGCAAUUAACAACACAUUGAAGUACACAGUGCGAUAACAAGGUACAUGGUUAUGCUGUUAUGAUACCAGAAUUUAUUCUCUCCUGAAUUCAUGACAUUAUUUGUGGUUUAUGACUAAAAUUGAAGGCCAUGGAUGCAAUUAAACUCUGAUAUGUUUAAUUGAUUUGCUUAAGAUAGUCACGAACUACGAGCAAUAUUUUCAUCAUUGAGUUAUUUUAUUAUUUACAUUUAAGUAUAUUUUGUGUUUUCUAGAAAUACAGUGAAAGAGUACAUUAAGGAUAUGUUUGAAAUUCUAAUAUAUGAAGGAUAUGUUUGAAUUUUAAUACAUUAAGGAUAUGUUUGAAUUCAAUCAAGCAGAUUUUUGCAAUUUUUUCUACUAUAAUAGCGUGUACUUGAUUUUGUUUUGAUACACAUUCUACUUGACUCUGAUGAGAACGAGAUUACUGUCAAUUCAAUACUCUAUAUUUACACUAAAUUUAAUUGAGUUUAAGUGUCAAACAUACUAAUACUAAGUGUCGUUAAAUAGUUUUUGCUAUACAGCAGAAUUUGAUCAAGCUGUUGUUUUCUGCAAUUUGCGAUCGACAACACUACUAAUAUCAUUAUCACUCAAAAGCAUUAAAUCUGUAUAUAUUUGUCAAAUUGGGUCAUCCAAAUUAUGUGACUGAGAAAGCAGUUAACUUACUCAAUACAAACACAGAUGUAUAUAUUUGUCGAUUCAAGAGCAUUGAUACACAUAUGCGUCUACUCAACAGUUGACAUGAAAUUGACUUUGAAACUGGUCGGCUAGUUGGACUUGUGAUUGGGCUUUUUGCGAUGUGUCAGAUGUUGUAUGAAAGCUUGCUAGCUGAUGAUUGCAGAUGGCUGUAAAAAACUGUAGGCACUGUAGUUGUGUAGUUUGUGCCAGCUGAUAAUGCGACCUAGAAUAAAAUGGUGAAUUCCGAGGAUAUGGUUGCUACUAAGGUUCCAGGGUGGGUUUCUACAACUUGUUCUAAGUUUUGUGAAGUAGGGAGGAUCAUCAGAUGCUUUAUUGGAGGUUGUAACUGGCUUUGUUUGGUGCAUCAACAUUAAAGGUUGUGCUUGUGUACAAACAUGUGUCUCUUAGCCGUACAUUGAGAUAUUCCGUACUGUUGGUGGAUUUUUUUAUAGCCUUGGGCUGUGAACACGUUCACCUAUAUUAUUCGAAGCUGCAACAUUCCUCAGAAUAGCAGCAAUUGAGGAGCAUGCACCGCAAGUGAAUUUGUUUAUUCAAUUGAGGAAGAAGAGAAUGAAGAUGAGUUCUAAUCUGAUGAUUUUCAAUCUGGUCCAGACACUAACUUCUUCUCUUACACUUUCAGUAUAGGGGCUAUAAUUUGCUUCAUGGAGUAAAAUUUUCAAUUUUAAAUGUAGUGUUAAUAAUGACAGGUGUAUAAUCAACUCAACACAGUCAAUGUUUACGUAAUCGACUCAACACGGUCAAUGUUACGUAAAGUGCACAAAUGUCAUGUGUUAUAAAAGUACUGAUGAAAUACUAUUUGUUAUACUGAGGGGUAAAAGUAUCUUUUUAAGGUAUCUAAUGUGUUUUCAUGA